rnacentral:rRNA from 1 species
UACGGGGGGGGCAAGCGUUGUUCGGAAUUACUGGGCGUAAAGGGCUCGUAGGCGGCCAACUAAGUCAGACGUGAAAUCCCCAGGCUCAACCUGGGAACUGCGUCUGAUACUGGAUGGCUUGAAUCCGGGAGAGGGAUGCAGAAUUCCAGGUGUAGCGGUGAAAUGCGUAGAUAUCUGGAGGAAUACCGGUGGCGAAGGCGGCAUCCUGGACCGGCAUUGACGCUGAGGAGCGAAAGCCAGGGGAGCGAAUGGG